CCUAAGGUUGCUGUAAUUCACAGGCUGAGGGAGAGUACAACUUGCCUGCCUGCUCCUGCAUGGCCUCAGUCAUUGCAAGGAGCAGUGCUUUGGAGUCAAUAGAGGCAAUGAUUAAUUGAUGAAAGUACAAUGUGGUCCCAUCAGUGUGGCAUUCCCACAAAAAGAAUGAAUUUGACUGCUGUCAGGAUGAGCCUUCUUACCUACAGCUUUUGUACAAACAUCUCCGUUGUAUGUCAACACCAAGCAGCACUCAGAGAAUACUACAAGAGACUCCAGGUUACUUUGCAACCACUGAUACAAAUUUGCCAUCAUAAACACUGAAUAAUACAUCACACUAAUCUGAUUGCUAUUGACUGUUAGAGUUGCAUGUAUGACCUUGGGUAUACAUUAAUCAAGGGGAAGCUGUGUGUCUUUUUCCAUUCCGAUAUCCUGUAGGGAUGAUGAGCAAAUCAGAUCCAAGCCCUUUAUUUACCCCCAUGUUUCUUCCAAUGCCAUUUGCUAUCAGAUAACUGGGUAUUUCUAUUCCCACUGGUAGUGAAUAAUCACAACUUGCAACUUUUUGUCUGCAAAAGGCACCAUGAACCCAAUCUACCAAGUGUCAGGAUCUAACAGUGCAUUCUAAACCUUGAAGUAAUUGUUUUUUCUGAAAAACUCUGAUUUGAAAAAGCUCUCAGGACACACCAAAUAUGUGUAUUAUUUACUCUCGCCAUCUGAUUCUAUGCAUGCUUACUCUAAAGCAAACUCCACGGACUGCAGCAUGGCUUACUCUCAGCUUUUCUGGCCUAGGUUUGUGUCCUGACGACCUCUUGGAAGUAUAACUGAGGGCUGCAUGUGGAAAAGUAUAACACACAGGACACUGAGUUCACUUGAAAAGAAAACAAAG